CCUACGGGUGGCAGCAGUGAGGAAUAUUUGUCAAUGGACGAGCGUCUGAACCCGCCAAGUAGCGUGAAGGAUGACUGCCCUAUGGGUUGUAAACUUCUUUUAUAUGGGAAUAAAAUGUUCCACGUGUGGGAUUUUGUAUGUACCAUAUGAAUAAGGAUCGGCUAACUCCGUGCCAGCCGCCGCGGUAAUACGGAGGAUCCGAGCGUUCUCCGGAUUUAGUGGGUUUAAAGGGAGCUUAGGUGGAUUGUUAAGUCAGUUGUGAAAGUUUGCGGCUCAACCGUAAAAUUGGAGGUGAAACUGGCAGUCUUGAGUACAGUAGAGGUGGGCGGAAUUCGUGGUGUAGCGGUGAAAUGCUGAGAUAUCACGAAGAACUCCGAUUGCGAAGGCAGUUCACUGGACUGCAACUGACACUGAGGCUCGAAAGUGUGGGUAUCAAACAGGAUUAGAUACCCUGGUAGUC
rnacentral:rRNA from 1 species